rnacentral:rRNA from 1 species
UACGUAGGGUGCAAGCGUUGUCCGGAAUUACUGGGCGUAAAGCGCGCGUAGGCGGCUUUGCAAGUCGGGUGUGAAAUCCCCAGGCUUAACCUGGGAACUGCAUUCGAGACUGCAUUGCUAGAGUAUGGGAGAGGGAAGUGGAAUUUCCGGUGUAGCGGUGAAAUGCGUAGAUAUCGGAAGGAACAUCAGUGGCGAAAGCGACUUCCUGGACCAAUACUGACGCUCAUGUGCGAAAGCGUGGGGAGCAAACAGG